UGGGGAAUAUUGCACAAUGGGCGCAAGCCUGAUGCAGCCAUGCCGCGUGUGUGAAGAAGGCCUUCGGGUUGUAAAGCACUUUCAGCGGGGAGGAAGGCGUUAAGGUUAAUAACCUUGGCGAUUGACGUUACCCGCAGAAGAAGCACCGGCUAACUCCGUGCCAGCAGCCGCGGUAAUACGGAGGGUGCAAGCGUUAAUCGGAAUUACUGGGCGUAAAGCGCACGCAGGCGGUCUGUCAAGUCGGAUGUGAAAUCCCCGGGCUCAACCUGGGAACUGCAUCUGAUACUGGCAAGCUUGAGUCUCGUAGAGGGGGGUAGAAUUCCAGGUGUAGCGGUGAAAUGCGUAGAGAUCUGGAGGAAUACCGGUGGCGAAGGCGGCCCCCUGGACAAAGACUGACGCUCAGGUGCGAAAGCGUGGGGAGCAAACAGG
rnacentral:rRNA from 1 species